rnacentral:lncRNA from 1 species
UUUUGGCAAGUGCUUCUUCACGGCCGACGACUCCACCCAGAGAACACACCGGUGACUUCUUCGUUCCUUGGCCACGUUUGUCCUACCUGCAGGUGCCCUCUUCCCCAGCAAUCCACCUCUGCAGACUUCUCCCGCAGCACGGGGCUUUUAGGCCUACAACCUAGCUCCUUUAUACCAACCUCCCUAGUGCCACUCCUCAGACCUACUCUCAGAGAAUCGGCUCCCGGGGUUCUAGCUCCUUCCUCUGCUCGUAUUUCUCCUGCAGUGGAUGUUUCUACCAAGCAAGCUCAAUGAUAGUUCAUGGUGCCACAUGUGUAGCGGUUGCUAUGUGUGUGUGUGUGUGUGUGUGUGUGUGUGUGUGUGUGUGUGUGUGUGUGUGUGUGUGUGACUUGUGUUAUACACAGAAAGUAAACAACGCCUAGGCUCCGAAGACCACCACUUUGGUGGAAGGCGCCACACCUCUCCCGGUCCUGCCAGGCUGUUGUUUCUACUUCAUGACCCCUGUUAGUGUGUUACUUCAAAGCCACACUGUCUGAGGAAAGGUGGAGGUGCUAAAAUACUGAUGCAUUCAUUUAAUGGCCUUAGUUCCUUUGUUCUUAACCCAGUCCCCCUGUGUUCCCAGUUCUCUCUAGUGUCUAAGCUCAUGCCAUGAAGGAAGUAAACACUAGAGGGCAAUUGAGAAGAUGAGAAGCUAUAGUGAUGGGCUAGAACUCCAUUAAACUUGCAGCUGAGCUCAUUAGCAAAACAAAAGGAAGUACCAUAGCAUUUGAGAUGCAUGCCCAGAAGCCCAGAACAGGAGAAAAGGAAGAGAAAGGAUAUGUGUGUUUCCUAGACAGAUAGCUGGACCCUCAAAAACAUCAGCAUACAGAACAUGCUGGGCAGCUCUCUCAUGCUCCCAAGUGAGAUGCAGCCAUAUUGGAGACCACUAGAUCCCUCUUUCAGGAACCAGGUAGUCCCCUAGCUACCAACAUGAGCAUGCCACCCUAUUCUUCUGGGGAUAGACAGGAAUGUGGAAGGACGGGGGAAACUACUAGAGCUGGACCAGCUUCAGGACUGAGCACAGAAUCUUACCACUGUAGAUCAGUACCCAGGCACUGAGUAAUUUGGGCAGAAUUAUUGUUGUCACACUUAGGGUAUUCCUGGAGACCAGGGAUGUGGAGACCAGGGAUGCAGAGAAGCAUGUACAGUGCUCAGACCAUCUCCAUAGCAACGAGGUACCCAGCCCAAAAUUUCAAUGUGUGAAGAUGGAGAACCCCUGUAUUGGAUAGUAAGGUGUCCGACACUAGCAUUUUCCAAGAAAUAUCUCUGUCCUUUCUGUUUUAGACUUUAGUAUAUAUAUCUGAUGCCUCAAAUCAAACUGUUUUCCAUUGACAGCCAGUCUUUUUGGUUUUUUCUAACCUCACCUGCUCUGACCAUGGAUUUUUCUUUUUCUACCCUGGUGUUUGGUUUCAUGACAUCCUGAAAUCAGCGACCUGUUAGAUGGCUGUGCUGCUGAGGCUAGGUCAAAAAACAUGGGCAAAGAAAAGGAAAGAGCUGGGGAAGUGGUGUUCAGAAUUCUUGCAUACACUUUUUCAGGAGUAAAUUCAGACAGCCAGGCUGUCUCUGCCACUGCAGUUGCCUGGCUUCCUGCUCCCUAACGUAAGCUGUAGGCAAGAUAGGCACAGAAGAAGAUAAAGGACAGGAGCCACUAGAUGCCUGUUACUAGAAAAAGGGCAAUGGAGAAGGUUAAGAUUGUGACCGCCAAGCCUGGAGGAUUCCCACCAAGGAGGCCUGACUUGGGACACAAAGAAACCUCAGUAUUAUCUAGAGUUACGCCAUAUUUUUGGGAUGUUUAUUUCUCUCAUCCCUAUAUACAUACAUGAUAGGUAUGAUCUCAUCCAGUUGUCUUUUCUGCAGUGCCCUGUUGGGUGCCUUAAAGUAUGAGGUACCUUGUCGAUUCUAGACAGACCUUUCAAAAUGGAGUCCAUCUUGAAGAAGCCAGUCACCCAACUACCUCACUUCUAGACAUGUCUGGUGGUUUUAACACAUUCACGGAUAAGUGCAAAGCCUUGUUGAUGAAUGAUGGGGCACAAUUCACAAGGAAAGAUGAAGUCGAAAGUGAAGUUUGGGUCUCAAAAGCAAGCAGAAUUGCCCCCUCAGACUCUCCUACAAGCCUUGCUGGUCUCCACUGUCUACCUGAAGGACUCCGUACACCCUUCACUACUAACAAACCUCACAGGAGGCAGGCAAAGUAGGCAUGCUUUUCACCAUACAGACAAACAUGCUGACCUGUCAACGUGCUACUUAACACCUCAACACCAAAUAUCAUCAUUUGAUAUUUCUCAGUAGCAAAUCCUCAAUAUCCUAUAAAUAAGUUAAAUAAAUAAAUAAAUAAUAAAAAUGAAUCAAGAAAGCAUUGGUGGAAUUUAGACCCAGAUAAAAGUGAGUCCACGUCUACACAUUUGCUUCAUUCUUUUUUGGGAGGGAGUGGUUUGGGGGUUUUGUUUGCUUCUUUUGUUUUGUUUUUAGAGACAGGCUUUCCCUGUGUAGCAUUGGCCAUCCUGGAACUCACUCUGUAGACCAGGCUAGCCUCAAACUCAGAAACCCAUCUGCCUCUGCUUCCUAAGUGCUGGAAUUAUAGGUGCGUGCCACCACUGCCUGGCCACACUUUCUUCUCAAGGACUUCUAUUCAUCAAAAAGAAACGUUAGCCAGUAACUAACCCCAAGGGAGAAAAUUGGUUUUCUGCAAGCACUCAAACUAUCUUUUCUGCCUACGUCUUUCCUCUCCUAUACUUUAUGAAGAUAGCCAAGCCACAUAUUGGGGGAGUCUCUCCUUCUUACCCACACUUGAUCUCACGUCACUAUUAACAAGUAAAAAUCGGAGGAUACCCCUUCUAGUUCAAUGGUUCUCAAACUUUAGAUGCCUCGGAAGUACUCAAAAAGCAGGGUAGGUCGUGAGUUUUGGGGCCCCAUUCCUGUGUAUCUUGGGAUGGUAAACAGUACUUUUCAUUUACAAGGUCAACUCAUCAGGUUCUUACCUACUGGAAUCCAGGCUUCUUCAUGAUCUGCAAGAACCAAAAAUGCCUCAGUCUCCCUCAGUAGACUCUACCAGAGUCAGUUCCAUUCAUUCUUGCAAACCAAAGGACUGUGAUAUCUAUUACUGGGAGAAGAAAUGAAGAGAAUAUAUUUACAUGAUAAAAACUAUCAAACUAUGUAAAUUACUGAAUUGCAAUGGCCACAUUAAUAUGCAUGAAUGUUACAGGUAUCGUGUAAGGUAAAAUUAACAAGCCACAGAUAAAUAUAUAUAAUAUAAUGCAUUGAAAUAUAUUUGAUUCCAAAUGAGAAAAGCUAUAAAGAAAAACAUUUAGAUGACAAGAAAACUAAAAAUCCAGUAUCGUAGUUACUGUAUAUUAUCCCUACCUACUUAUAUUUCAUUUUUAAUGCAAACAUGAUACAUUCAUAGAGGACUGUAUAAUGCACAUUUACAUAUGCAUAUAAAUACACUUGUCAAGUUUAUUUUGGAAUAUAAAAGAAAGGAGUUUCUAUUGUUUUUUUCCAUAUUCUAUAUCUGUAUUCCAUUUUGGUGCCUAAUGUUCCAAUUUGAGAAAAAUAAUAGAGAGCUAAAGAAAGUGAAUAAAUAAAAACUAGAAAGCAAAAUACAGACUUUGUGAGAUUCCUCUCAAGUCGUGUGAGUGGUUAGUCAGGGUAAUGUACUCUUUGGGGGGUUGAUUCAUGCUAAUGUGUUCUCUCUGUUACAGGCUUGGACAAGCGAUGCUCGAACACUCCAAGGACUUCACACACUAGAGGCUGCAGUCACUUCCCAAGGGAGCGGCCCCCUGCUCUGGCUGGUCAAACGGAACCAAGUCCGUCUUCCUGAGAGGUUUGGUCCCCUUCAACCAGCUACAGCAGGGCUGGCAAAGCCCAAUCUUUGGAGAAAGAGAAGAGAAGAGAAAUUAUCUGCUACCAUCUUGCUUAUGAAAAGCAGUUCUGGUUUUGUCCUCAUAGCCUCAUGUUCUCAGGAAGGAAGAAGAAAGGAGAAAACCCAGGUUCACAAGAGAUCAUAGGUCUCAUGCUCAACACACAGAAUCCUCUGCCUUUGUGUCCACAUUUAAAUCCAUGCACACCCACUGAUGAUGCGAUGGAUGGAGCUUGGGCCAGCCUUAGGCCAGCCAGUGGCAGAAUAUGGUACAUAGGAGACAGGUCUUCUGCCCACAAGGACACAGAAGCAUAAGUAAGGCCACUGACAAUGGAAAUACAGCACAACUCAACGGAGUUGCAGGCUGAAACAUGCUCGGUCCAAGAUAUCAUUCAUAAAUGUGUGGGAUGGAUGGAUAUAGACAAAUAUAUAUGUAUAUAUGUGUGGACAUAUAUGAAUAUAUAUUAUAUAUAUACUGAAUUUGCCUGUGACGUUCUACAUUCUCCAUGAAGCCCAGAGCUUUGUGUACACUGAAAUUAAAGUACACAGAAGGAGGUUACCCAACUCCCCAUAGCUGGUACCUAUGAUUAAGGUAAAGCCCUGUCUUCCUGUUUGAAACCUUCCUGUUUUGUUUAUUAGUUAUCAUGUGAACUCAUAACUAGCCUCGGUCAAAUAGCCUCAGUCACCUCUGUUAAAACCUUAAUUGCCUUUUCAUCAGUACAUAGAAAUAGUGACCUGAUCAAUCACAUCAUUGUUCUAAGACAAUGUGUGUAAAUAACCAACCAUAAGCAUUCAGGGAAUGCAUAGCUUGCUAUUAUGACAAUAAUGGUGUCAUGCCCAGAGGCAUGGUCCCUUGAGGAGGAAGAACAAAUUUUAAAAGAUAAAAUUGCCAAAAUAAAUGUUAUAUUUAUGUCAGUACAUUUAUAUUCUGGCUAUUGAUUCUACCAGCAUGCAAGAUACACUCAUCCUAGUGCAUACUGUCAGUAUGUAGUAAGUUUUGCCAAAAAUUACUUCACACGUGAGAUUCUACUACGUGGGAAGAGGUUCCUGACAGCAUCGAGCUUGCUCUAUAGCCAUAGAGCCUUCUGGGUGUGUGAGCAUGUUUUCUAGAUGCAAACAGAAGAAACGUGGCUGCAGUUGGCUGCCUGUGAAAAUAAUGUACGAAGGUCUAAAAUUAGGACAGGGUGCACAAUGAGGUUUUUCUCUUUGACAAUGCUUUUAAAACCAAAUUGGUAUUCAAUAAACUUUUCCCUAAUAAAUG